GAAUACUAAUACCAAAGGACUGAGUCUCUUUAAAUUUGACCAACUGACUUAGCAGGCAGCUGGUGCCUUGGUUCCUUUCUAUCCCUCAUGCUUAAGAUAACUUGACAAGACACUGAGGGAUAUUUUGAACCUUUCAGGCCUAAAAGCUGUGAUUUGGAUGGAAUUAAUAAAAUGGCAAGGUAAUUGCAAUCCUUUUCUCUCUUUAUUGGCUUGUAUUUUGCUAUGUUGAUUCUGAAGUGGAUAACUUGUUGUUCUAUACUUUUUAACUUAAGAAAAUGUGUUCAGUAUGAUUUUGUGUCUUCCUUAAUGAAAAGUGUUUAUUUUCCAUUGCUGGUUUGCCGCAGACCCAUUUCUGGCUAAGCAUAGAACUCUUCAGUCAUCUAAACCACUGUCUGAACAUAUUUGAGCAUGGAAAAGUAAAAGUUUUAGGAAUUUAUCUGUGUUGGGUUGACUAUUAUGUAUUUCUGUUGAUCUCCAGACAUAGAAAGGAUCAUUUUCCUUCCUAGGACACAUUCAAAUACAAAUGCUGGUUUUAUGGAAAGAUAGUGUCUGGAUUUAAUGUAUCAGAUGCCUUAAGAUAUGUGAAUCUGGUAAAUUCCAGGCCUGAUUAUCUGAUCAUUUGUGUAUUAACAUUUGGAGGCCAACAGCAAUUCUCAUAGAAGGGAAUGGGAGAGCUUACAUAAACUGAAUCACUGUGAUCUAGGCAUGAUUUUUAUGUGGAAAUAAAUUUUUCCUAAGAUAACUUGAGUCUUUAUCCCCUUUUUAUUAUUAAUUGCCUUGAUUUAAAAAUGGGGCAAACUCAACAGAAAGAUGAAAGCAAUCUUAUAUAGAGCCGCAUUUCAUUUGCCGUAGGUCUUGUUUUCCAGAGCUAUCUCCAACUUUGCCACCUGAGAAACACAAGUCCAAGUCCAAUACUUACAGAAGAAAUAACUAUUCCACCUAGUCAAGGAACUAGCCAACACUUAAUGGAGGAUUGCCCUUGGUUAUAGAGCUAACUGCAAAUGAAGUAACUAGAGGAAGACCAUUUACCUUCUCCAUUGAAGAGACCAUUCAAGAGCCAACUCAGCAAUCAGGGUCUAGCAGUGUUACUGACUGGAUGACUGGCACUUAGAGUCCAGCACCCUGCUGAGAAACCAGCAACCCAUGUGAGGAUUCCAUGGCCAGUAAGCAUGCUCUGCUUCUUGACUUUAUGUAGAGGCUGUUGGUUAACUUUCCAGUGCAAAUUUUGUUCAUUUGGAUUUCCCUAUUUUGUCUGUUUUUCCUUUUCAUUCAUGCACAUUUUACAGUCCACCACUCUGCUUGGCUCCUUAUAUAGUUUGGAUAUUUGUCCCUGCCCAAAUCCACUGAGAUCACAAGACUCUUGAACAGAAGAAAUGCCAAGAGAGCUAGAAUCUUACAGAUGGUGGUAUUAAUAAUGGAGCAAACUAGAACCAAUGACAAAGACAUGAAGUCUGAAAAUAGCACAGAGAAUAUAAAUAUUGUGAGAUGAAUGUUCCCCCUUCAAUUCUCCUUAUUUGCCAAAUAUUUUCAUUUCCUUUUGUCAUUAUAGAAAAUAAAACCAUGCAUCACAGUCAAAAGUGCUCCA
rnacentral:lncRNA from 1 species